CCUACGGGUGGCAGCAGUGAGGAAUAUUGGUCAAUGGCCGAGAGGCUGAACCAGCCAAGUCGCGUGAGGGAAGACGGCCCUACGGGUUGUCAACCUCUUUUGUCGGGGAGCAAAGCGAACCACGUGUGGUUCCUUGAGAGUACCCGAAGAAAAAGCAUCGGCUAACUCCGUGCCAGCAGCCGCGGUAAUACGGAGGAUGCGAGCGUUAUCCGGAUUUAUUGGGUUUAAGGGGUGCGCAGGCGGAGGUGCAAGUCAGCGGUAAAAUUGCGGGGCUCAACCCCGUCCUGACGUGCAAACUGCAUCGCUUGAGUGCGCGAGAAGUAUGCGGAAUGCGUGGUGUAGCGGUGAAAUGCAUAGAUAUCACGCAGAACUCCGAUUGCGAAGGCAGCAUACCGGCGCGCAACUGACGCUCAUGCACGAAAGCGUGGGUAUCGAACAGGAUUAGAUACCCCAGUAGUC
rnacentral:rRNA from 1 species